CCUACGGGUGGCAGCAGUAGGGAAUUUUGCGCAAUGGGCGAAAGCCUGAUGCAGCAACGCCGCGUGAACGAGACGCCCUUCGGGGUGUAAAGUUCUGUCAGUGGGGACGAAAAAUGAUGGUAUCCAUAGCGGAAGCACCUGCCAACUCCGUGCCAGCAGCCGCGGUAAUACGGAGGGUGCAAGCGUUGUCCGGAAUCAUUGGGCGUAAAGAGUACGUAGGCGGCAUGUAAAGUCAGGUGUUAAAGGCGCAGGCUCAACCUGUGUAUGGCACCUGAUACUUGCAAGCUGGAAUGCGGUAGAGGUAAGGGGAAUUCCAGGUGUAGCGGUGAAAUGCGUAGAGAUCAGGAGGAACAUCGGUGGCGUAAGCGCUUUACUGGGCCGUAAUUGACGCUGAGGAACGAAAGCCAGGGUAGCAAAUGGGAUUAGAUACCCCAGUAGUC
rnacentral:rRNA from 1 species